UGACCUUGCUCAGGCUCCUCUUCCUACCUAGAUGGCGAGAGAAAACCUUCAGGACCUCCCCUCCCUGUCCCCUCCAGGAAUCGCCUUUCUGUGUCCGCAUAGCGCAAGGGUCCGAAGUCUGACUCCCUGGGCCGUGUCCUGAUUUUCUCUUCACCACUUGGGCUUCCAGAGGUUUGGUUUUAGCUCCAUUUUCUUGUGUCUCCAACCCUGGGCUCUCUGUUGCUCUCAGAGCAGGCCGUGGCCACGACUCCGUUUCCAUGGCAACACUAGAGCCAUUCAACUGCCACUGUCAUGACAGAAGGAAGACUAACUAAGGAGGACUACUGGCUUGCAAAUGACUGGCAGAAGCCCUGACAUCUGCGGUCUUGAAGAAAUUCCAGAAGACCAAAACCAAGUGGAUGUAUCUCUUUUUCAUACAGGCCCGAGAGGGGGCAGAACCAGGUUCUUCCCCACCCAGGAUGGGAAGAAAUGGACACCAGGAUGGAGCAGGCCAGCCCCGGGCAACACCGUGGACUGGGUUCCGGUUGAAGAAGGAAGCACUUUUUUAUGGAGGCAUCUUUUGGAAAUGGCAGACAGAAACCUUCACCCCAAAAAACAGACCAUGUCUUCUAUAGGACACAGGAAGAAAUGGGAAGACAGACCUGCAUGUCAAUCCUGCCUGGGUGACCUUAAGCAAGGUAAUAUUCCACUACGUGGAUAUACUACAUUUUGCUUAUUCAUUCAUAUGUUGCUGGACAUUUCUACUUUGGGGCUACUAUGGACAAUGCUUCUAUGAAUAUUUGCAUACAAGUUUUUGUGUGGACAUGUGUUUCCAAUUCUUCUGUGUACACACCUAGGAGUGGAAUUACUAGGUCACUUAAUAACUCUGUGUUGAAUUUUCCAAGGAACUGCCAAACUUUUCCAAAGCAGCUGUGCUAGUUUACAUUCCCAUUAUCUGCAUAUCUUUUUUUUGGAGAAAUGUCUACUCAAAUCUUUUGCCCAUUUUCAACUGGCUUAUUCGUCUAAUAUCGUACGGUAAGAGUUGUAGACAAUAAAGUCUUGAAUGAGAAAAAAAUGAGGAACUUGCGCUACUAAGUAUAAAAGCGUAGAGCAGCAUUCUAUAAAGCUACUGUAAUUCAGAAAGUACCGUCAAUCCUCAUUAUUUACAGACUCUGAUCUGUGAACCUGCUUACUCUCUGAAAUUUAUUUGUAACCCAAUCAAUUCCUGUGGUGAUGCAGAGGGGCGAACUCUAGCUGAGGUGGAAGGAGACAACACUCUACUUUUUGCUUCACCUUCGAACUGUAAACGAGUGUCCUUUUGGCUACUUGGUGCCACGGUUUUCGCAUUCUUAUUGUGGUUUUGCAGUUCAGAAUGGCUCCCAAGGAUGCUGUUUGUGGGGACGGGGUAUAUGGGAACUCUCUGCACUUUCUACUUAGCUUUGCUAUGAACCCAAAACUCAACAAAUAGUUCACUAAUUAAAAAAUGGCCUCGGAGCACAGUGCUAAAGUACUCUCUAGCACUCCUAAGUGCAAGCAGGCUGUGAUGUGCCUUCCAGGGAAAAUACAUGUGUUGGGUAAGCUUUGUUUAGGCAGGAGUUAUAGUGCUUGUUGACGUGAAUUCAGUGUUAAUGAAUCAACAAUAUAUAUUAAAUAAGGUAUCUUUAAACAAAAAUAUACAUAAAACAAAGUCAGGUAUUCAUCACUUGAUGAAAAUGUGCCCAGAGACUCUCAGGAACCUAACUCUGAUUUUCCCUAGGGGCAAUGGGUCAGUAAUUAGUAAUUACUAAUUAGUAACUAGUGCAAACACUAAUUCAGUGUCUGCAGGGACUUCAUAAAACAUAACUACAGAAAAUAAUGAGAAUUGACUGUAUCUUCUUAUAAAGCAACAAAAAGUUUGCAUAGACUUUAUGAAACAUAACUAGUGCAAAUAAUAAGAACUAUGUUCUUAUAAAGUCACAGGCAAAAAGUUUAAUAACACAGAAUAACACAGAAUGCAGUAACAAAUCCAGCACAGACACACACACACACACACACACACACACACACACACACACACACGUGAGAAUAUUUGAUUUGUGAUAAAGGUCAAUUUCAAUUCAGUGAAGAAAGGAUGAAUGGAUGAAUGCAAUAAAUGAUGUUGGGACAAUUCACAGUAAUUCACAGAAAAAUAAAUAUAAAUGGUCUAUAAAACAUAUGAAAAGAUAAUCAACUGCAAUAAUAGUAAAAAAAAAUACAUCUUAAAAUAAGAUACCAUUCUUUAGUUUUCUAACUGGCAAAACAGUGACAAUAUCCAGUCCUGGUGAGCAACAUAUACUGUUAAUGAAAGUUGGUAUAAGUUUAUGAAGACAAUCUGGGUAGUAUUUAUUAAAAUUGAAAAUGCCCUUUAACCCAGCUAUUCUACUUCUAAGAAUCUCUUACAGGAAUAAUAGUAUAUGUAUAUAUGGGGGCACCUGGGUGGCUCAAUCAGUUAAGCAUCCAACUUUGGCUCAGGUCAUGAUCUCAGUUUGUGAGUUUGAGCCCUGCAUCAGGCUCUCUGCUGUCAGCACAGAGCCUGCUUCAGAUCCUCUGUCCUCCUCACUCUCUGCCUCUCCCCCAUUUGCAUGCACACUCUCAAAAAUAAAUUAUUUAAAAAAACUUUUUAAAGGUACGUAUAUAUGAAUGUCCCAGGUGUAUUUUAUAACAGCAAAAAAACCCAAAAAAACAAAAAACUAGAAAUUUAAAUUAUGGAAUAGUCACAGAAUGGAACAGUAUAAGAUCCUGAAAAAUGUGUAUACUGGGUUGAAUAGUGUCCCUCUCAAAUUUGAGUCUUUCUGGAACCUCAGAACGUGACCACAAUUGAAAACAGAAUCUUUGCAGAUGUAACUAAUUAAGAUGAAGUCCUACUGAAGUAGAAUGGGCCUUAAACCUAAUCUAAAUGGUAUCCUUAUGAGAAGAUAAGAGGAUACAAAAGACAUAUGGAGGAAAGAUGGCCAUGUAAAGAUGGUCGCAGAGACUGGGGGGUUCUGCUAUCAUGGCCAGGGGAUACCAAGGAUUUCUGGCAAUCACCAGAAGCAGGCAAAGAAGAAUCUUCCCUAGAGGUAGUACAGUCUUACUGAGAUCUUGAUUUAGGGGAGAGAGGCAGAGGGAGAAAGAGAGAAUCCUAAGUAGGCUCCAAGCCCAGCACAGAGCCCAACACGGGGCUUGAUCCCAUAACCCUGGGAUCAUGACCUGAGCAGAAAACAAGAGCCAGAUGCUCAACCAAUGGAGCUAUCCAGGCACCCCAGAUUUACUGUUGUUUUAAGCCACCCAACUUCUGGUAGUAGCUGGAAGUAUUUACGCAAGCUACAUAAGACAUUUCUCUAUGUGUGCGUGUGUACCCAAAAGUAUAUCUAUCUGUACAGCCAUGGAAAAACUCAGAAGGAUGUAUAUCAAAUUAUUACCAGGGGUUGGUUUGGUGGAGGAGUUAAAGGGAUCAAGAGAAAUUUUACUUUAUUAAAAGUGUAUUAUUUUUAUUUUUAUUUUUAUUUUAUUUUUAAUUU